GUCCACGCGGUAAACGAUGUCAACUAGCCGUUGGGAGGGUAAUCCUUUUAGUGGCGCAGCUAACGCACUAAGUUGACCGCCUGGGGAGUACGGUCGCAAGAUUAAAACUCAAAUGAAUUGACGGGGGCCCGCACAAGCGGUGGAGCAUGUGGUUUAAUUCGACGCAACGCGAAGAACCUUACCUACUCUUGACAUCCAGAGAACUCGGCAGAGAUGCCUUGGUGCCUUCGGGAGCUCUGAGACAGGUGCUGCAUGGCUGUCGU
rnacentral:rRNA from 1 species